AGUGAACGCUGGCGGUAGGCCUAACACAUGCAAGUCGAACGGCAGCACAGGAGAGCUUGCUCUCUGGGUGGCGAGUGGCGGACGGGUGAGGAAUACAUCGGAAUCUACUUUUUCGUGGGGGAUAACGUAGGGAAACUUACGCUAAUACCGCACACGACCUACGGGUGAAAGCAGGGGAUCUUCGGACCUUGCGCGAUUGAAUGAGCCGAUGUCGGAUUAGCUAGUUGGCGGGGUAAAGGCCCACCAAGGCGACGAUCCGUAGCUGGUCUGAGAGGAUGAUCAGCCACACUGGAACUGAGACACGGUCCAGACUCCUACGGGAGGCAGCAGUGGGGAAUAUUGGACAAUGGGCGCAAGCCUGAUCCAGCCAUACCGCGUGGGUGAAGAAGGCCUUCGGGCUGUAAAGCCCUUUUGUUGGGAAAGAAAUCCAGCUGGUUAAUAUCCGGUUGGGAUGACGGUACCCAAAGAAUAAGCACCGGUUAACUUCGUGCCAGCCGCCGCGGUAA
rnacentral:rRNA from 1 species